rnacentral:rRNA from 1 species
UACGGGGGGGGCAAGCGUUGUUCGGAAUUACUGGGCGUAAAGGGCUCGUAGGCGGCCAACUAAGUCAGACGUGAAAUCCCUCGGCUUGACCGGGGAACUGCGUCUGAUACUGGAUGGCUUGAGUUUGGGAGAGGGAUGCGGAAUUCCAGGUGUAGCGGUGAAAUGCGUAGAUAUCUGGAGGAACACCGGUGGCGAAGGCGGGUCUCUGGGCCGAUACUGACGCUGAGGAGCGAAAGCGUGGGGAGCGAACAGG